CGCAAGCGUUGUCCGGAAUUAUGGGGCGUAAAGAGCUCGUAGGCGGCCUGUUGCGUCCGCUGUGAAAUCCCGGGGCUCAACCCCGGGCCUGCAGUGGAUACGGGCUGGCUGGAGGCAGGCAGGGGAGAACGGAAUUCCUGGUGUAGCGGUGAAAUGCGCAGAUAUCAGGAGGAACACCGGUGGCGAAGGCGGUUCUCUGGGCCUGUACUGACGCUGAGGAGCGAAAGCGUGGGGAGCGAACAGG
rnacentral:rRNA from 1 species